rnacentral:rRNA from 1 species
GUCGCACCUACCGAUUGAAUGGUCCGGUGAGGCCUCGAGAUUGUGGCCCCCGCCAUUAAUUUGGUGGAGGCCGCGAGAACUUGUCCAAACCUUAUCAUUUAGAGGAAGGUG